GACGAACGCUGGCGGCGUGCUUAACACAUGCAAGUCGAACGAAGUGGCGAACGGGUGAGUGACGCGUAAUCAACCUGCCCUUCAGAGGGUGACAACAGUUGAAAACGACUGCUAAUACCGCAUACUGAAGGUGGGGCUUGCGUGUGAUUAGCAAGUUGGAGGGGUAACGGCCCACCAAGGCGAUGAUCAGUAGCCGGUCUGGGGAGGGGAACGGCCAAAAUGGGACUGAGACACGGCCCAGACUCCUACGGGAGGCAGCAGGGGGGAAUCUUCCGCAAUGGAAGGAAGUCUGACGGAGCAACGCCGCGUGAGUGAAGACGGCCUUCGGGUUGUAAAGCUCUGUUAAUCGGGACGCGGUACCGGAAUAGAAAGCCACGGCUAACUACGUGCCAGCAGCCGCGGUAAUUC
rnacentral:rRNA from 1 species